rnacentral:rRNA from 1 species
CCUACGGGUGGCAGCAGUGAGGAAUAUUGGUCAAUGGACGAGAGCCUGAACCAGCCAAGUAGCGUGAAGGAUGACUGCCCUAUGGGUUGUAAACUUCUUUUAUAUGGGAAUAAAAUGUUCCACGUGUGGGAGCUUGUAUGUACCAUAUGAAUAAGGAUCGGCUAACUCCGUGCCAGCAGCCGCGGUAAUACGGAGGAUUCGAGCGUUUACCGGGUUUAUUGGGUUUAAAGGGAGCGUAGGUGGAUUGUUAAGUCAGUUGUGAAAGUUUGCGGCUCAACCGUAAAAUUGCAGUUGAAACUGGCAGUCGUGAGUACAGUAGAGGUCGGCGGAAUUCGUGGUGUAGCGGUGAAAUGCUUAGAUAUCACGAAGAACUCCGAUUGCGAAGGCAGCUCACUGGACUGCAACUGACGCUGAGGCUCGAAAGUGUGGGUAUCAAACAGGAUUAGAUACCCCUGUAGUC